rnacentral:tRNA from 1 species
CGGGAUGUAGCGCAGUUGGUAGCGCGCCAGUUUUGGGAGCUGGAUGCCGUAAGUUCAAGUCUUACCAUUCCGACCA